rnacentral:rRNA from 1 species
CCCAAACUGGGAUUAGAUACCCCACUAUGCUUAGCCCUAAAUCUAGAUAGUUAACUUAACAAACCUAUCCGCCAGAGAACUACUAGCAACAGCUUAAAACUCAAAGGACUUGGCGGUGCUUCACAUCCCUCUAGAGGAGCCUGUUCUAUAAUCGAUAAACCCCGAUAAACCUCACCACCUCUUGCUAAUACAGUCUAUAUACCGCCAUCCUUCAGCAAAC